ACCUCGAGUGCCAGGUUACAAAUCUGGCUGUCGUGAUGCCUAAAAAGCAUUAUAUAGCAAGGGCCGGGCAAGACCGGUGCCAGCCGCCGCGGAUAACACCGGCGGCUCGAGUGGUAACCGUUAUUAUUGGGUCUAAAGGGUCUGUAGCCGGCCGGAUAAGUCUCUUGAGAAAUCUGGCAGCUUAACUGUCAGGCUUUCAGGAGAUACUGUCUGGCUUGAGGCCGGGAGAGGUGAGAGGUACUUCAGGGGUAGGGGUGAAAUCUUGUAAUCCUUGAAGGACCACCAGUGGCGAAGGCGUCUCACCAGAACGGACCUGACGGCAAGGGACGAAAGCUAGGGGCACGAACCGGAUUAGAUACCCGGGUAGUCCUAGCCGUAAACGAUACUCGCUAGGUGUCGGCCACGGUGCGACCGUUGUCGGUGCCGUAGGGAAGCCGUGAAGCGAGCCACCUGGGAAGUACGGCCGCAAGGCUGAAACUUAA
rnacentral:rRNA from 1 species